UACGCCGUGUUGAUAGUGGACAGAAAGGCAAUACUCAGCACACCACUGAGGAAUCUGUAAAUCAGAAAACGGAUGGAUUUGGUAUUUAACACAUUUAGCGGACGUAAUGCAAAAGAAGUAGACGGUGUGGAAGAACUAAAUCGACGUGAGCACCCGCAGCUUACCUGACGACUGACGGAUGAGCUGCACCUAACACAGAAAUCAUCUGCCGUGGUAAAUGGCAAGACCCAUAAUCUCUUCAGUAGUCAAGAGCUGCAGUGACGCGGGCUAGAAGGUUUACCUGGGAAUUUCUCAGAUUACAAUAGGUGACUGCACAUCUGUUUCGACACUGAGAACUGCUGAACUCAAUACAACGAUGUGCGUGUACAGCACAGCUGAACUCUUCGGAGCUGGGUGUUGUUAUAUUGCAAUACCGUACAGCACACGGCAUAGCAACAGUCUGCUCCUACCAGAAACCAGCUUUGGACCAUAUUGGCUACAAUGCUAUUAAUGCAUCCUCUGAUGACAGCAGCAUAGAAAACCAACAAAGAGAAGUAGGAGAAAAUCUUUUGUUCAGCAAUCUGAAUAUCUCAGUCCAAAUGAGAUAAGUCUGAUUAUAUGCUGCUCACAAAACAGGCUGAUUAUCGGCAAUUAGAGUGGCUGGCAGCAAAGACUGACAAACUGCCCAGUCUGAGGGCCAAAACCAAACGUGAUCUUCUGGAGGAGCAUCUCUGAAAGGCAGAAGGACCAGGUGAUUCAUCUUCCUGCUCUCGGCCGUUACAGUACUGCAAAAUACGCUUUGGACUAACCGUCGGUGGGGACGUACCUGAUACCUGUGAAGAUGACAGGAUGACAUUUCUGGGAAGGUGAAACUGAAUUAUGUCACGUUCAGCUGAAUUUGGAAGUCACUUUUCCUGUGACCUUAGUGGAUCCCUUGAUGCCUAAUGUUUUAUCUGAUUUUUCGUUGCAUCCUUCCUAUUUAUUGUUGCAAACUCGCUACCAUUGAGAUCUCUGCCUCUCUCAGAUGUGGUUGAAAUCACUCAAUAAGGCAUAAAUGUCAUGAGGGGACU